GACGAACGCUGGUGGCGUGCUUAACACAUGCAAGUCGAACGGAAAGGCCCUGCUUUUGUGGGGUGCUCGAGUGGCGAACGGGUGAGUAACACGUGAGUAACCUGCCCUUGACUUUGGGAUAACUUCAGGAAACUGGGGCUAAUACCGGAUAGGAGCUCCUGCUGCAUGGUGGGGGUUGGAAAGUUUCGGCGGUAGGGGAUGGACUCGCGGCUUAUCAGCUUGUUGGUGGGGUAGUGGCUUACCAAGGCUUUGACGGGUAGCCGGCCUGAGAGGGUGACCGGCCACAUUGGGACUGAGAUACGGCCCAGACUCCUACGGGAGGCAGCAGUGGGGAAUAUUGCACAAUGGGCGGAAGCCUGAUGCAGCAACGCCGCGUGCGGGAUGACGGCCUUCGGGUUGUAAACCGCUUUCGCCUGUGACGAAGCGUGAGUGACGGUAAUGGGUAAAGAAGCACCGGCUAACUACGUGCCAGCAGCCGCGGUGAUACGUAGGGUGCGAGCGUUGUCCGGAUUUAUUGGGCGUAAAGGGCUCGUAGGUGGUUGAUCGCGUCGGAAGUGUAAUCUUGGGGCUUAACCCUGAGCGUGCUUUCGAUACGGGUUGACUUGAGGAAGGUAGGGGAGAAUGGAAUUCCUGGUGGAGCGGUGGAAUGCGCAGAUAUCAGGAGGAACACCAGUGGCGAAGGCGGUUCUCUGGGCCUUUCCUGACGCUGAGGAGCGAAAGCGUGGGGAGCGAACAGGCUUAGAUACCCUGGUAGUCCACGCUGUAAACGGUGGGUACUAGGUGUGGGGUCCAUUCCACGGGUUCCGUGCCGUAGCUAACGCUUUAAGUACCCCGCCUGGGGAGUACGGCCGCAAGGCUAAAACUCAAAGGAAUUGACGGGGCCCCGCACAAGCGGCGGAGCAUGCGGAUUAAUUCGAUGCAACGCGUAGAACCUUACCUGGGUUUGACAUGGAUCGGGAGUGCUCAGAGAUGGGUGUGCCUCUUUUGGGGUCGGUUCACAGGUGGUGCAUGCCUGUCGUCAGCUCGUGUCGUGAGAUGUUGGGUUAAGUCCCGCAACGAGCGCAACCCUUGUUCACUGUUGCCAGCACGUUAUGGUGGGGACUCAGUGGAGACCGCCGGGGUCAACUCGGAGGAAGGUGGGGAUGACGUCAAGUCCUCAUGCCCCUUAUGUCCAGGGCUUCACGCAUGCUACAAUGGCUGGUACAGAGAGUGGCGAGCCUGUGAGGGUGAGCGAAUCUCGGAAAGCCGGUCUCAGUUCGGAUUGGGGUCUGCAACUCGACCUCAUGAAGUCGGAGUCGCUAGUAAUCGCAGAUCAGCAACGCUGCGGUGAAUACGUUCCCGGG
rnacentral:rRNA from 1 species